GGCCUGCGGAAGGAUCAUUACCUAGAGUUGUGGGCUUUGCCCGCCAUCUCUUACCCAUGUCUUUUGAGUACCUACGUUUCCUCGGCGGGUCCGCCUGCCGUUUGGACAAUCUAAAACCAUUUGCAGUUGCAAUCAGCGUCUGAAAAACACAAUAGUUACAACUUUCAACAACGGAUCUCUUGGUUCUGGCAUCGAUGAAGAACGCAGCGAAAUGCGAUAAGUAGUGUGAAUUGCAGAAUUCAGUGAAUCAUCGAAUCUUUGAACGCACAUUGCGCCCCUUGGUAUUCCAUGGGGCAUGCCUGUUCGAGCGUCAUUUGUACCUUCAAGCUCUGCUUGGUGUUGGGUGUUUGUCUCGCCUUUGCGUGUAGACUCGCCUUAAAGCAAUUGGCAGCCGGCGUAUUGAUUUCGGAGCGCAGUACAUCUCGCGCUCUGCCCUCAUCACGGCGGCAUCCAAAAGUACAUUUUUACACUCUUGACCUCGGAUCAGGUAGGGAUACCCGCUGAACUUAAGCAUAUCAAAAUGGCGG
rnacentral:rRNA from 1 species